ACGGCUCAGUAACACGUGGAUAACCUGCCCUUGGGUCCGGCAUAACUCCGGGAAACUGGAGAUAAUUCCGGAUAACGCAUAUAUGCUGGAAUGCUUUAUGCGUAAAAUGGAUUCGUCUGCCCAAGGAUGGGUCUGCGGCCUAUCAGGUAGUAGUGGGUGUAAUGUACCUACUAGCCUGCGACGGGUACGGGUUGUGAGAGCAAGAGCCCGGAGAUGGAUUCUGAGACAUGAAUCCAGGCCCUACGGGGCGCAGCAGGCGCGAAAACUUUACAAUGCGGGAAACCGUGAUAAGGGGACACCGAGUGCCAGCAUCAUAUGCUGGCUGUCCAGGUGUGUAAAAUACACCUGUUAGCAAGGGCCGGGCAAGACCGGUGCCAGCCGCCGCGGUAACACCGGCGGCCCGAGUGGUGAUCGUGAUUAUUGGGUCUAAAGGGUCCGUAGCCGGUUUGGUCAGUCCUCCGGGAAAUCUGAUAGCUCAACUAUUAGGCUUUCGGAGGAUACUGCCAGACUUGGAACCGGGAGAGGUAAGAGGUACUACAGGGGUAGGAGUGAAAUCUUGUAAUCCCUGUGGGACCACCUGUGGCGAAGGCGUCUUACCAGAACGGGUUCGACGGUGAGGGACGAAAGCUGGGGGCACGAACCGGAUUAGAUACCCGGGUAGUCCCAGCCGUAAACGAUGCUCGCUAGGUGUCAGGCAUGGCGCGACCGUGUCUGGUGCCGCAGGGAAGCCGUGAAGCGAGCCACCUGGGAAGUACGGCCGCAAGGCUGAAACUUAAAGGAAUUGGCGGGGGAGCAC
rnacentral:rRNA from 2 species